AUUGAACGCUGGCGGCAGGCCUAACACAUGCAAGUCGAACGGCGCGGCGGUCGGGGGAGUAAUGCCAAGGAAUGUGCCUGGUAGUGGGGGAUAACGACCGGAAAUGGGAGCUAAUACCGCAUCCUCUUGGCAUCGCCUAGGCCGGAUUAGCUAGUUGGGGGGGUAAAGGCCUACCAAGGCGACGAUCCGUAACUGGUCUGAGAGGAUGAUCAGUCACACUGGAACUGAGACACGGUCCAGACUCCUACGGGAGGCAGCAGUGGGGAAUAUUGGACAAUGGGCGAAAGCCUGAUCCAGCCAUGCCGCGUGUGUGAAGAAGGUCUUCGGAUUGUAAAGCACUUUAAGUUGGGAGGCGUUACCAGCAGAAUAAGCACCGGCUAACUUCGUGCCAGCAGCCGCGGUAAUAC
rnacentral:rRNA from 1 species